rnacentral:lncRNA from 1 species
UAGCUCAGUUUACCAGUGAUUGGCAUCUAUUACCUCCACAGAAGUCUCAAGCAAAUGAAUGCAGUUUGAAUUCUUCCUGAUAAUUUUCAUCACCUCUUCUGUUCCAGUGCAAUCAGUUCAGGUGAUCUACAGGCCUUUAUUUUCCCUGCUGAAGAGGUGAAGAACAGAGCAUUUCUCAGAUGGUGCAGUGAAAUACUGUGAUUUGUUGCUAUGCGACUGCAUGCCUGUAUGAGGCCUAUAGUUUUCUUCUGAGGAAGGGGUGGCAUUGAACAUAAGCACAGUGUUUUACAGGAUUGCAUGUACCUCCCUCAGUUGCCCACAACCCAGCCUCAGCAUCUGUA